rnacentral:rRNA from 1 species
GAUAAACGCUGGCGGCGCACAUAAGACAUGCAAGUCGAACGAACUUAAUUGAGAGCUUGCUCUCAAAGCGGUUAGUGGCGGACUGGUGAGUAACACGUAAGCAACCUGCCUAUUAGAGGGGAAUAACAGCGAGAAAUCGUUGCUAAUACCGCAUAUGCUGUGAGUAUCGCAUGAUACAAGCAGGAAAGGAGCAAUCCGCUAAUAGAUGGGCUUGCGUCUGAUUAGUUAGUUGGUGGGGUAACGGCCUACCAAGACGAUGAUCAGUAGCCGGACUGAGAGGUUGAACGGCCACAUUGGGACUGAGAUACGACCCAGACUCCUACGGGAGGCAGCAGUCGGGAAUAUUGCGCAAUGGAGGAAACUCUGACGCAGUGACGCCGCGUGCAGGAAGAAGGUUUUCGGAUUGUAAACUGCUUUUAACAGGAAAGAAAAAAAUGACGGUACCUGUGAAUAAG